GGAUUUGACGGCGAGAUGAAAUGGUACGUAAGCACGCGGUGGCUCGUUGGUUUCCCACCUAAAUCUGAGCUUUCAAGAAAAUAAUUGGCAACAACAAGUAUGCUCUCGCUGCUUGAUCGAAGUACAGUAGAUCUUAAGCUUAAUUCCCUUACAAGGUGAGGGAACGAGACGUCGCCCCAAGGGUGUGGUUCCGAAUCUGAGGACAAGGCGGCGCAGGUAAAUCGGAAAUAGUCUUUCAAGGCUCCGAUUGGAGGAUGAAGUUUUAGGAGAUAAGGCGUCGGUUGGUGGUCCAGGUCUUGCCGUCGCUCGAAAAUCAAGGCUGGAAUAAGCGUGUAGAAAGCGUAUGGUUUCCUUGUUCGGACGUGGGUUCGACUCCCACCAGCUCCACA
rnacentral:tmRNA from 1 species